AAAAGAGAAACAUCUGUUUUGUAAAUAUGAUGUGAAAGAAAAGAAAAAAAAUAGAGAAAAUAAAAAUGAAUGCUUGCUUGGAAGAAAAAUAGUGAAAAACAAAAAUUGAGUUGUGAAAUAAGAGUUGUGAAGGUUUCAAAUGAGAAAUAAAUGGAACGAAGUUGAGAUGUGUGAAUAAUGUACAGUGAAUGUCUCUUUUGCAUCGGCAAUUUCGUUUUCAAUGGCCUUAGAAAUGACCCUUGUUUGUUAACCUAACCAAGCUUCAACC
rnacentral:lncRNA from 1 species